rnacentral:rRNA from 1 species
AAUAGAUACCCCGGUAGUCCACGCCGUAAACGAUGAGUGCUAAGUGUUGGGGGGUUUCCGCCCCUCAGUGCUGCAGCUAACGCAUUAAGCACUCCGCCUGGGGAGUACGGCCGCAAGACUGAAACUCAAAGGAAUUGACGGGGGCCCGCACAAGCGGUGGAGCAUGUGGUUUAAUUCGAAGCAACGCGAAGAACCUUACCAGGUCUUGACAUCCCGGUGACCACUAUGGAGACAUAGUUUCCCCUUCGGGGGCAACGGUGACAGGUGGUGCAUGGUUGUCGUCAGCUCGUGUCGUGAGAUGUUGGGUUAAGUCCCGCAACGAGCGCAACCCUUAUUCUUAGUUGCCAUCAUUCAGUUGGGCACUCUAAGGAGACUGCCGGUGAUAAACCGGAGGAAGGUGGGGAUGACGUCAAAUCAUCAUGCCCCUUAUGACCUGGGCUACACACGUGCUACAAUGGACGGUACAAACGGUUGCCAACCCGCGAGGGGAGCUAAUCCGAUAAAACCGUUCUCAGUUCGGAUUGUAGGCUGCAACUCGCCUACA